rnacentral:rRNA from 1 species
CAACCCGGAGAGGUCGUUCAAUACUGCGUGUCUAGAGGGUGUCACAGGGGAGUGGAAUUUCCGGAUUAGCGGUAAAAUGCGCGGAUAUCGGAAAGAACACCAAUGUGCGAAUGCUGGUCCCUGGGGCAUACCUGACGCUAAUAGACGAAAGCUAUGGUGAGCGAACAGUGAUUAGAUGACCCUGGUAGUCCUAGCCCUAGACGAUGGAUGCUGGAUGUGGGACCAUAGCGCUCCGUGUCGACGCUGAACGCAUUAAGCAUCCCGCCUGGGGACUACGGCCGCAAGGUUGAAAACUCGAUACGAAUUGCCGGGACUGCGCACAAGCAGCGGAGCCUGUGGUCGCAAUUCGAUGCUACACGAAGAACGCACCAUGGGUUUGACAUCUAGGUGAUAGCAGACGUGAAAUCGGAGCGACCUCUCGGGGAGCCUAGACAGCUCCUGCAUGGCCGUCGUACAGCUCGUCCUGAGAGGUGUCGGGUUAAGUCCCGUAAUGAGCGCAACCGUUGCCCUCCGUUAUACGUGUCAGAGGGGACUGCCGGCGGUAAGCCGGAGGAAGGUGGGGAUGACGUCAGAGUCAGCAUGGCAUUUAUAUCCAGGGCUACACACACGCUACAAUGGCCAGUACAAAGGGCAGCGAAGCCGCGAGCUGGAGCGCAUCCCAACAAAGC